CAAGGGAUGUGAAUUUAGAAUGACCCAAAAUUCGUCUAGAAACCCCCCUGUAUACACCUCACUUAGUCUUUAUGCAUAUAUAUUAUUUAAGUAUACCUCAGUUUUUUAGCUUUAAUUAUUUGAGAAAAAGGUACUUUAUUAUUUUCCUAGAAAGAUGAUAUUUUAUUUUAAUAGUUUUACAUGAAAUUAUAUAUAUUCCAAUAUUAUAUUUUUUCUAAGAUAAGAAAAUUGUAAAAUAUGAUAGUCUACCCUACAAAGUAUAAGCUUUUUUGUUACCCCCCCACCAUACAUUCUCUUUAUUUAAAGGGUACGCUAUUAUAUUUCAAUAGUAUUAUUAUAUUAAGGUUGUAUAAUUGAUAUUUUUGUAAAGAAAACCAUAUAUAUUAUUUUUGUUAAUGGAAGGAUUCAUUUAAGUUCUGAAAAUUAUGCAUGUAUAGAUUAAGAAGGACUGUAUAAGUGUAAUAUAUGUGAUCUGAGUAGACUUUAAAAUUCAAAGUAUAUACAGUGCUAAAUCCUGAAAACAUAGCUAUAAUCAUAGAGAGAGAGAUCGAGAUCAGAGAGGAGUGCCAUACAGCAGCCUGAAAGAGUAUUUGAUUAUCGUGAAAUAUCUGAGGUAAGAAAGAACAUUCCACUAUAAUAAUAUAAUUAAUAAAGUCAUGAACUACUGUACAAUUGAUUUACAGAAGAAAAGAAAGUAACUAUUUGAGAUUAAACUGUAAAUUAGAGAUAAAGAGUAUAUCUUCUUCACAGCUCGAGGCUGGCACAUGGCACAUGGCUCUUGAAUAACAUCCGAUGUGUCUCUCUUGUUUAUAAGAAUUUAAAACCCAUUCAAAGAGAGUGGGUUUUUUUUUUGUUUCUUUGUUUUGUUUUGUUUUAUUUUUUUAUGGUUUGUUUGGUUCUUCUGAAGUUGUGAUUUAUGCGUCCCUGGGGCUGUGAACCAGAAUGAAAGAGCCCAGGACAUUGAUGAAGACAAGGAAAGAAGACACCUGAGAAGAACCAGAAGAAUAAAAGUGACAGGUUGGAAUACAACCAAGUGGGACAUUUAUUUUUGUAGAUGAAAGUUUAUUUUACUGUAGAUGUGUAAUGAUAUUUAACUCAAUAUAUCAACAACAAGUGUAAACUUA